rnacentral:piRNA from 1 species
GACUCAUGUGUUAAAUACCCAGUCCC